AGGUUCCUUAUUCUUUUCUGCCUUUAAUUUUGUUGGCUUCUUCUGUAAUUCUCUUGUGUUCUUGUUGUUGCUCUUCAGCUUUCCUCUAUUUUUGGAAGUGAUCGUGGCCCAGUGUGCCAAUUGUUUAGUUCGAAUCUCAAAAAAAAAAAAAAAAAGUGAUGGAAUAGACUAUUUGAUUUAGAUUAAAGCUAUUAUGUUGUGGGGUUUACAUCAUAAUUUCUAUUGUAGGAUUAAUCGAGAAACUUUAUAAUGGAAUAAUCUAGGGCGAACAGGGGAGUUGAGUAUUUUCUAUUUGUGGAGUUAAAUCUAUUAUACACAGACAUUUGCUGAACUACUAAGGAUAUGAAAACCCUUGGCUCUGUCAACAUGGCUUAUAGAAAGUAUCUGAAAACGAUCACCACUUUGCAAUUUCAACAAUAAGUGUAGA